AUCCUGAACCCCUUAUUUUGCAUCCCCAGCUACUAGAGAGUAUUUCAAACUUACUAUUUUUUCAGCAUCUUGUAUAUUUUCUUUACCCACGAAUCAACAAAUGAGCCAAAAUUAAACAACAACAACCACAACAACAACAAAACAGAAGGUAAGUGUGAAGUUCUCAUUUGUUUGCUACUUUUUUUUCAGUGAACAGGCAACCUACAGAAUGGGAGAAAAUUUUUGCAAUUUAUCUAUCUGUAAAGGGCUA
rnacentral:lncRNA from 10 species